AUACUUACCUGGCAGGGGAGAUACCAUGAUCAUGAAGGUGGUUUUCCCAGGGCGAGGCUUAUCCAUUGCGCUCUGGAUAUGCUGACCUCUGUGAUUUCUCCAAAUGUGGGAAACUCGACUGCAUAAUUUGUGGUAGUGGGGGACUGCAUUUGCGUUCUCCCCUG
rfam:Tupaia chinensis contig40682, whole genome shotgun sequence.